ACAGAGCGUGCUGUGUGGAUGCGGCGAAACGCUGAGGCGCGGCCUUCGCUGUCUGGUGGGGACUCACAAGACCGACGUCAAGAUGAUGCUUUCAAGGGCCAAACCUGCUGUAGGCAGAGGCGUACAGCACACUGACAAAAGAAAGAAGAAAGUUCAAACGUCAUGUUGGGGAAGAAGAAGAGGAUACUAAUUUGUGGAUUGGAUAUUGUGCCUUUCACCUGGGUGACUACAAGAGAGCUCUGGAGGAAUACGAAAAUGCUACAAAAGAGGAAAAUUGUAAUUCUGAAGUCUGGGUGAACCUAGCUUGCACCUACUUCUUUCUUGGGAUGUAUAAACAAGCUGAAGCAGCUGGAUUUAAAGCUUCAAAAAGCCGACUGCAAAACCGCCUCCUCUUCCACUUGGCUCACAAGGAGAAAUGAAGUAGAAGACAAAGAACCUGAGGGAAAUAGGAAGAAGAGAGAGACACAAUGGCUAAAGAAGGAAGAGUUAAAAUCUCUAUCACAUAGAUAUUGAUUUCUCUAACAACACUAAUAUGAAUCUUUACAUGUCUUUUCCACUCUCACAAUUUUAGUUUAAUGAUG
rnacentral:sRNA from 1 species